GGGGAAUUAGCUCAUCUGGCUAGAGCGUUAGACUGGCAGUCUAAAGGUGACGAGUUCGAGUCUCGUAUUCUCCA
rnacentral:tRNA from 2 species